CCUGUCACGUGUGGGAACAAAGAGGCCUUACUGGACAGAGAAGCACUGUAUAACAGAAAGAUAAACUGCAUAAAAAGUAACCAAGAAAUGAUCUCCCCUUUUACAUUCGAGGAAAUGGGUGGAAAAGAAUCGUGCAAGGACUGGAAAACAAGUAUUUUAUGCCAAGGCAUAACCCUCAAGAGUCUCAUGGAGAUUAAUAUUUUGAAAACACCCAAGCUUAAAGGAAAAUUUACCCUUCGUAAAUGAUGUGCCAUGCUUUAUUUAUUCAGCAUUUUGAGUCACUCAAUAUGCUGACCUCAUGAAUGUACAUAUGUUUUAAUAAAGUUUCAAUAAUCUAAGGCAAUGAAUGGAGUGUUAUGAAAUAAGAGCUUUGAUUCAACUCUAAUCAAACACACCUGAACAAGCUAAUCAAGGUCUGAACGCUUACUUGGAAGUUUUAAUUAGAGUUGGGAGCUACAUUGGAGUUGGCACCCUAUGGGGUGGACGGGGAAACUCGGAUUAUCCAAACAGUCCUAUUGUUUUACUGAUUCUGAUUGCUUUACUAAUAGCACCUUUGUCAAAUGCAGUGCAUUAGCAGCUUUGAUACCUGCUCCAUGACUGCCUUAAUCUAAUAAAGGUACCUAUCAA